GAUCUUACCCAAAGGUCCACCUUUAUUGGUGUUGCAGCUUUGGGUCGGGUCUUACCUCUUGGUGAACGGGUGUGCCCUUCACUGGGUGCGCCCGGGAACCAGGACUUUUACCUUGAGAAAAUUAGAGUGUUCAAAGCAGGCCUUUGCCCGAAUACAUUAGCAUGGAAUAAUAGAAUAGGA
rnacentral:rRNA from 1 species